rnacentral:sRNA from 1 species
CCUUGAGCAUGGACAGCCUGGAUCUGCUGGGUGAAGGGAGAAGUUAUGUCCAGGGUGGGACAGAGAGGAUGGCGAGAGAUUUCCUCACUGCUCAGAACAGUGGGAAAUUCAAAACUUAGGGAUUAUUUCUGAAAUUUUCCAUUUAAAAAUUUCCAUUUAUAAUUGACCAAGGGUAACUGAAACCAGAGAAAGCAAGACUGAGGAUAAGGGAGGGGCCUCCUGUACUCCAAGAGCACUGAAUCCGGAAAAACUCAACACAUUGAUGGAGUCAUAUAUUUAAUUUUUUCUUAAAAGCCACCUGCGGGAUAUUGUAGAAACACUGCGCUGCCAAUCACAGCUUGUGAUGUGACACAUUCAUUCUGCAAGUUUAAACUUCCCCUAGCAAAUCUUUAUGAGCACCUACUAUGCAUCAGGCUGUUGUCGUGAAUAAAACAAGAUCCAUAUCCCGAGGGAGUGUGCCUUCCAGGAGAGAAAGACGGCAAUGUGUAAGGAGCGUUAGAAGAAGAUGUUGUCUUUUGGGUGUAGAAAGUGAUUGGUUCUUGGGGAAAAGCUGUGUUUCAGAGACAAGAUUGAAGAACUUCACCUGCAUAUGAUGGAGGAUGAGAAUGGGAACCACAGGUGUCAUUGGUGGUUUUGUUUUA